rnacentral:rRNA from 1 species
GUAACGCGUAGGAAUAUGCCUUAAAGAGGGGGAUAACUUGGGGAAACCCAAGCUAAUACCGCAUAUGCUCUGAGGAGCGAAGCUGGGGACCUUCGGGCCUGGCGCUUUAAGAAUAGCCUGCGUCUGAUUAGCUAGUUGGUGGGGUAAAGGCCUACCAAGGCGAUGAUCGGUAGCUGGUCUGAGAGGAUGGACAGCCACACUGGGACUGAGACACGGCCCAGACUCC